AGUGAACGCUGGCGGUAGGCCUAACACAUGCAAGUCGAACGGCAGCACAGUAAGAGCUUGCUCUUACGGGUGGCGAGUGGCGGACGGGUGAGGAAUACAUCGGAAUCUACUUUUUCGUGGGGGAUAACGUAGGGAAACUUACGCUAAUACCGCAUACGGCCUACGGGUGAAAGCAGGGGAUCUUCGGACCUUGCGCGAUUGAAUGAGCCGAUGUCGGAUUAGCUAGUUGGCGGGGUAAAGGCCCACCAAGGCGACGAUCCGUAGCUGGUCUGAGAGGAUGAUCAGCCACACUGGAACUGAGACACGGUCCUGACUCCUACGGGAGGCAGCAGUGGGGAAUAUUGGACAAUGGGCGCAAGCCUGAUCCAGCCAUACCGCGUGGGUGAAGAAGGCCUUCGGGUUGCAAAGCCCUUUUGUUGGGAAAGAAAAGCAGCAGGUUAAUACCCCGCUGUUCUGACGGUACCCAAAGAAUAAGCACCGGCUAACUUCGUG
rnacentral:rRNA from 1 species